GACGAACGCUGGCGGCGUGCUUAACACAUGCAAGUCGAACGGAAAGGCCCUGCUUUUGUGGGGUGCUCGAGUGGCGAACGGGUGAGUAACACGUGAGUAACCUGCCCUUGACUUUGGGAUAACUUCAGGAAACUGGGGCUAAUACCGGAUAGGAGCUCCUGCCGCAUGGUGGGGGUUGGAAAGUUUCGGCGGUUGGGGAUGGACUCGCGGCUUAUCAGCUUGUUGGUGGGGUAGUGGCUUACCAAGGCUUUGACGGGUAGCCGGCCUGAGAGGGUGACCGGCCACAUUGGGACUGAGAUACGGCCCAGACUCCUACGGGAGGCAGUGGUGGGGAAUAUUGCACAAUGGGCGGAAGCCUGAUGCAGCAACGCCGCGUGCUGGAUGACGGCCUUCGGGUUGUAAACCGCUUUCGCCUGUGACGAAGCGUGAGUGACGGUAAUGGGUAAAGAAGCACCGGCUAACUACGUG
rnacentral:rRNA from 1 species